rnacentral:rRNA from 1 species
ACCAGAUAAUAGAGAGGACCUAAUAGGUGACAGUUGUUAAAUGCGGGGGAUCGCAAGACCUCGCUGUCUGGAGAGGAGCCUGCGGCGGAUUAGCUUGUUGGUGAGGUAAUGGCUCACCAAGGCGAUGAUCCGUAGCCGGCCUGAGAGGGCGGUCGGCCACGACUGACACUGACAUACGGGUCAGACUCCUACGGGAAGCAGCAGUCGGGAAUUUUGGGCAAUGGGCGAAAGCCUGACCCAGCAACGCCGCGUGAAGGAUGAAAUCCCUCGGGAUGUAAACUUCCGCAAGAAUGGGAAGAAUUAGUAGGGGUUAAAUACCCCCUAUGAUGACGGUACCAUUUUGUUAAGCUCCGGUUAACUCCGUGCCAGCAGGCCGCGGUAAUACGGGGGGGGAGCAAGCCGUUGUUCGGGAUUUACUUGGGCGUAAAAGGGCGCGUAG